rfam:Gossypium raimondii Chr02_contig_983, whole genome shotgun sequence.
GCAGAUGUAGCCAAGUGGAUCAAGGCAAUGGAUUGUGAAUCCACCAUGCGCGGGUUCAAUUCUCGUCAUUCGCC